rnacentral:rRNA from 1 species
AGGACGAACGCUGGCGGCGUGCUUAACACAUGCAAGUGGAGCGACGAACCAGGGCUUGCCCUGGGGCAGAGCCGCGAACGGGUGAGUAACACGUGGGUUACCUGCCUCGAUGACCGGGACAACCCGAGGAAACUCGGGCUAAUACCGGAUGUGCCCGCAAGGGGAAAGGAAGCUUCGGCCUCCGCAUCGAGAUGGGCCCGCGGCCCAUUAGCUUGUUGGUGAGGUAACGGCUCACCAAGGCUUCGAUGGGUAGCUGGUCUGAGAGGACGAUCAGCCACACUGGGACUGAGACACGGCCCAGACUCCUACGGGAGGCAGCAGUGGGGAAUCUUGCGCAAUGCGCGAAAGCGUGACGCAGCAACGCCGCGUGGGGGAAGAAGGCUUUCGGGUUGUAAACCCUUUCAGUUGGGACGAAGCUUCGCCGGUGAAUAGCCGGCCGGAGUGACGGUACCUUCACAAGAAGCACCGGCUAACUACGCGCCAGCAGCCGCGGU